CGGGACGGGUGAGUAACGCGUGAGUAACCUGCCUUACACAAGGGGAUAGCCGUUGGAAACGACGAAUAAUACCCUAUGACAUAAACUCUUCGCAUGAGGAGCUUAUCAAAGAUUUAUCGGUGUAAGAUGGACUCGCGUCUGAUUAGCUAGUUGGUGAGGUAACGGCCACCAAGGCGACGAUCAGUAGCCGGCUUGAGANAGUGUACGGCCACAUUGGGACUGAGACACGGCCCAGACUCCUACGGGAGGCAGCAGUA
rnacentral:rRNA from 1 species